AUCAGGCUACUGACUCCACCUUCUGGUGGAUAACUUUCAGUUUCAACGGAAAUAGAUUCGCUUGGCUCCUUACGUCACACCCAGCGGACGAAUAAAGAAACGGGGACGGAAAGAAUGAGAAGAGGAAGCCAAAGGGAAAGACCUGGCUGGGGAAAAAAAAUUAUUGUUGGAAUAGAAAAAGAGGCUGGAGAAAGAAGUCUGACUACCGAAAGAUAGCCCAAGGGAUAAAUAGUAGAAGAGGUUGUAAUCCAGGGCCAUGGCAACACUGAAACACAGGGGUGAGGAGGAGGUAUGGCUGGCCUGCUGCCACCACAAAAGAAUGCCAUCUUAGCGACUCAGGACCUGCCAUGGGGAUCCAUCCAGGGCUUCCUUACAUAUGUGGCUGUUUGUCUGAAUCCUGGGGUUGGUGCUGAAGAUUAUAAUCUCAAUUGACAGGUGCUAUUCUUAAUGUUUGUACUAUGGUAAAAAUUCUCUCAAAGUUCUUGUGUUUUGUAAAACUUGUAACUUGCCAAAAUACUCAUAUAUUUCAAAGUGUGUGUGUGCUUUCAGUCCAUAUAGCAACAGAGUUUGGGUUCUACCUGUCAACUGCAAAAGAUCUCAGCAACUACUAGAUCUGGAUAUUGACAAUAAUCAUUGCCUAUAAUUAUUAUUUAGUAAUAAUUACACCAUCAUAAUAAUCCAUUCCUUAUUUUGGAAGUAUAUAAAAUGAGAUAAAAGGCAACAUGACUAAAUAGAAGGUUGGUCUUAGGGUCAAGAUGAUCUGAGUUCACGUCCCACCUCUAUCAUGUAAUGGCUUUGUAACUCUAGGCAAGGAAUUUAAGUUCUGAGAGCUUCAGACAAUUUUCUAAGAUUAUAACUUGUAGAGCAGGUUUAUUUGUAUUGGAGGCAAGGGGUUUCUUCAUGGAGCCUUUCUCAUAGCAAUGAAAUCAUAAGUCUGGACCAAAAAUAAAACAAAAAGAUUCAUAGAGGACAAAGGCAAUAAUCAUGAGAAUAUUGCUAACAUGAAUUAACAUGCUUUUCAAAAUCCAGGGGAAUUGAAUUUAUAUGUAAGGCUGAGGUUGGUCUUGCAAUAGCAGCCACAAUUCAAAGAAAGGCUUAUGUAAUCAAUAUGUCAGGAUUCUCAAGUCAUGCUAAUUGGUCUCUCAGUUUUAUUCUCACAAACCCAGUUGCAAAAUCUAGUGGAAUUGUCAUUUUGGGACAGAAAAUGUCAAUAAAUGUUGAAUAGGUAAAUAAAAGAAAAUGAUUGGAGAUUGACACGGUUGGUUUUUUUUGGGGGGGGUGGGUGAGUCUUGAUCCUUAAUUUCAUUGACAUGGGGAAGAUGAACAGCAGCAAUUCAUCUUAGAGGUGCCAGAUAGUUAUUGAAGGAUUAAGUGAAUUUGUCCUUGGUCACAUAAUUAGUACGUGCCAAAGACAAGGUUUUUGAAUCCAAAUCUUCCUCAUUCCAAAGCCAGCACUAUUCUCUAAGCUGUGGAAGCAUAUUGAAAAUCUUUUUUUGGGUUCUUGUAGGAAUUUAUUUAUUUUUCCAUAAAUGAAUAACCUAAUAAAACCAAACCCCCCAAAUAUAUAUCCAAAUAAACAAGUGCAAAAUUGUGUGUUUUCGUCUGCAUUUCUAUUCCAGCAGUUCUUUUUCUGGAGGUAGAUAGCAUUUCCUCAGGAAAUUUAAAGAAAUAAUUAUUUCUCCCCUUAAAAGCCCUUUUGAGACUUCCAGGAAAAGAACCUUGAAAAGAUUGGCAGGAAGUUAAAGGCUAAAUUCUUUUUUUUCUUCAGGGAAAUGGAUUAAGGAUGGCACCAAAUAGAUUUAAUUAGAGAAUAUCUUAUUUACACCACUGCUUCUAGUAGUGCUUUGAUUAUUGAUCCAGCUAAGGACAGUCUCCUUGAUUCCUCUCCACCUGAACUGAACAGCAAGCUAACACUCACCCUUCUCCAUUGAUUAAAAGAAGGGAGGCUGCCACUUUGUUUAAUUCCACAAUAAGGAAGGAGAAUAGUUCCAGAGGAUUGGGAUGUUUGCUCAAUUCUAGAGUAUUAACUCAGACUCUAUUUUAAGAUAACUUUUCCUUGUUUAAGAUUCCUAUAAACAAAACCUAAAGUUGUUUUCAGGUUGAGUCAUGUUGGAAGGCAUAGGAGAAACUAUACCAGAUGGACAUCUCUCUCUCCAAGCUAGAAAUGGCUUGGGUAUAGAUUAAUGUUAAAUUGAAUGAAAUUGUUUCUGGGAUAUUUGAGCCUAAAAUCAGAAAAUAUAUUAUUAUUAUUAUUAUUCAGUGUGUGUAUAUUGACUUACUUAUGUGUCUCUUAUUCAUACCUAUUAUAGUUAGUCUCUUGAUGAAUAUGGACUUUAAAAGACACUAUGAGUGGGGCAGCUAGAUGGCUCAAUGGAUAGAGAGUCAGGCUGGGCAAUGAGAGGUCCUGGGUUCAAAUUUGGACUCAGACAUGUUGAGUGACCUUGGGCAAGUCACUUAUCCUCAAUUGCCUAGCCCUUGGGGCUCUUCUGUCUUGGAACCAAAACUUAGUAUUGACUCUAAGACAGAAGGUAAGGCUUAAAAAAUACUAUGGAUGAAGAUUAAGUUUACCAAAUUUAACCAACUUGUGUUAAAAUAUAAUCCAGCUCAAAGGAAUAUAUUUCCCUUUUCAUUCUUCAGUAUUUUUGGGUUUCACUGUAUAAUGAAUCACACCAUAAAACUUUGAUGGGUCUGUAAUCUUGCCGGUAUGGGUGCUCCCUUAGCACUACAAAACACAAGCCAUCUAUACGUUAUUUUCCAUAAGAAUCUAGUCAACUCUUCUGGGUGUUUUCCAAACUGGGUUCCUUAACCCAAGGAGGAUUUCAUCUACUUUCAUGUCUACAAGACUGAGGGAUCAAAAAGUGAGUGGCUAGAUUGAGCAGCAAAGAAAUCUAUUAAUUCACUAAGGAAGUCUGUUUUAGCUAGGAGAAGCAUCCAUUUCUUCAAGUACAGAUCAGAUUUGUAGAGCUUUUGGGGCUCAUUUAGGAUUCAUAGUCAAUCAGCAGCAUUUUGGACUGAAUGGUAAUGGGAGAAGUGUGCAAGGAUUCGAGUCAGGAAUUGCUAAAGGUCAAGAGAAAAAACAUUUCAUGAUUAAUCUCAUUGGAAUCCCCUAUAUUGGUAAUAAAUCUCUAAGAGAGUGGAGGCCUCCUUCAAGACAGAAUCAGCUGGGUUCUUCCUAUUGUUGCUAGUAUGGAGAAUAAAAUACAGACAGAUCUCUUUUUACAGAAGCCCAUACAUAGUAUGUAAAGCACUUUGCAAAUAAAAUUAUUACAUGAUGUUAGCUAUUAUUAGCUAAUUAAUAGACACUUACUAGCAGUGUGACCCUGGGCAAGUCACUUAAAUCUCUUUGCCUGUUACCUCAUCUGAAAAUGAGCUGGAGAAGGAAAUGGCAAACUACUCCAGUAUCUUUGCCAAGAAAACCCCAAAUGGGGUCAUAAAGAGUCAGGCAUGACUGACACAUCUGAACAAAAAUGAUUAUUAUUGAUUGUUAGCAUUAAGCAAGACAAAAAACAGGGAGAUUGACAAAAUUAAAGGUGUUUGCCACUCUCUUAUAAAGGAUGACUAAAUCAGAAUCCAAAUGGAAAAAAGAUUUCUUAUAGUCAAGUCCUACAGAUGGUUCCUGUUUACAGAUGGUAAUGUACUGAUGCCAUUAAGCUGGAAACAAAUACAGAGCCCCAGAGUGCUGUCUAAAUGGUAUUGAUUAAUGCCUUGAUUAAUUAAUGACUUAAAUGAUCACUACUUUGUAUUCAGAGGGCUUGAUAGGAUUACAAGAAAUUAGAGCUAGAAGGGUCUAUUUUUGUUUUUUGUUGUUUUGAUGUUCAGUCAUGUCUGACUCUUUGUGUCCCUUUUUAGGGUUUUCUUGGCAAAGAUACUGGAGUGGUUUGUCCUUUCUUCAGUUUAUUUUACAGAUGAGGAGAUUGAGACAAAUGGGGUUAAAUGUCUUGUCUAGGGUCACGGAGUUAGUAUCUGAGGUCAGAUUUGAACUUGAGUUUGACUAACUCCAGACAGCAUUCUAUCCAUUCUGCUACAUAGCUGUCCAGAAGGUUUUAUACAAACCAUUUGAGUCUAGACUCUUCAUUCUGUAGAGGCCCAGAGACAUGGAAUGAUUUCCCUGUAGUCACAGGGUAAAUGAGUGUUAGAACCCGGUCUCAAACUCAGGCUUCUGGUUCUAAGCCCAGAGCUCUUUAAAACUGGGACCUUAAUUUCCUGGAGCAAUAAUCUAGCAAUAUACCUCUUCAUUCUUAGAAAUUCUUGACAGGACAGGAAAGUCAUUUCCUGGUACGUUUCUUGCCCAUAUCCUUUUUGCCAGUUGUCUGAUUUCCUCCGAAUAAAAGAUGUCUUGUUUACCAAGCAGGCAGCUGCUGAUGAAUCUUUCCAGAAACUUUAUAGACCUAUAUUUAAAGUUUUGAGCAAAUUUCCUUUGAAUAUAUUGCCCCUAGAUUAUUAUUAGCCUGAUAGAUUUUGAGCAUGGAUUUAUUCUGACAUCAUUAAAUGGCUAAAUUAAAAGAAGGGAUCAUAGAAAUUUUAAGGCAGACCCACCACUUGCAGGUUUAAAUUUUCAUUGUUUUCUCUAAGAAGAUAACCAAUAUUGAUUAUUAUUAAAAACAAAUAAAGAAACUGAGUUCUUUAGCUAAUUAAAUCUUUGUGCACAGGAAAGUAUCCAAACACACCUCAAGAGUCUUUAUAUUUCCAUAAUCAGAAUUUCCAAGGGUUCCUAUUUAAAUUUUACUUUGGCACAAAUUGCUUAUAUGCUCUGAUUGCAGUUCUUUUUUUUUUUAAACCAAUUACAUGUAAUAGCAAAUUUCCACAUAAGCUUUCCUAAGUUAUAUGAUCAAACUUAUCUGUCUCUCCCUUUCCUUCCCUCUCCUGGUGCUGGCUGGUGAUUCAAUCUGGGUUAUAUGUGUAUUAUCAUGCAAAACACAUUUUUAUAUUGUUCAUUUUUGUGAGUAUUCUCAUAAAACCAAAACUCCAAAACAUAAACCCAAAUAAACAACUGAAAAAUCAGAUGCUUUCAUCUUCAAUCCUACUCCAACAAUUCUUUCUCUGGGGGGUGGAUAGCAGUCUCUGUCCUAAGUCCAUCAGAAUUGUUCCAUAUCAUUGUAUUACUGACAAUAGCUGUCUAUCACAUUUGAUUGUUCCACAACAUUGCUGUUACUAUGUACAAUGUUUCCUGGUUCUGCUUAUGCCUCUCUGCAUUUGAUUGCAGUGUUCUUAGAAUGAAGGUACAUUUAACCUUGUUCAUACUCCUCUUCCUGGGCUUCAAUGAACAUCUGUUGACACCUGUUAUUUGGUGUAGUAUGGAAUAAGAUGUUGGCAGGCAAAUUGGAGAUAUGGCUUGUCCAAAAGAAGGAGAGACAUAGUGUCAGGUUUCAAGUGUUCUAUUCAAUGUAAACAACUUCCUUUUCUUACUUCAUGACCUUAAUAGCUCCCCUGGGUUCAAUGUUUGUCUUUAAGCGAAUAACCAUUUCACUACAUCCAGCCUCAUUCUCUUUCCUGGUGUUGCACCACCAACUUAUCUAUCAGGUAUUCAGAACUAAAUAUCCUUCUAUGAACAGAUAUCUCAAAUUAACCAAGUCUGAAAUUGAGCUCUUUAUCUUUCUUUUUUACAUUUUCUUUUUUAUGAUAAAUUUAGCAAAUGUCAACAAUCACAAACAUUUUGAUAUACAAAGAAGAGAAAGGAGGAUUAUCCAUAAGUUAUGAACUCUGGUCACCUAAUAGUUUGAUUUUUAAGGUACAUGUGAAAUUGAACUGGGUACUAAAAAAACUGUUCUGCUUCUCUUUGUUCCCUUCUAAAACUUCUUCUCAUCUUUUCCAUGUAUUUAAAAAAUCUUUCUUUCAGGCUUUGCUUUUUAUUUUCUUCUUUUCUAUCAUUUUUCUCACUACUUGCCAAGUUCUUCCCUUCCUCCCUAUUCUUAUUCUAGACUUUCCUAUUUCUUUUGAGGAUACCACCAGUAUUUUAGUGACCUAGGUUUUGAUACUUCAGUGUCACUCCUGAUUUCUCAUUUACUCAUUGUACACAUCUGCUCAGUUGUCACAUUUCAUUUCCAUACUUUUUCAACUCCAGUGGUUUGACAUUGCCUCUAGAAUAAAAUAUAAACUCCUCAGGAAUUUUACAACUUGACCCCAACCAGCCUUAUUACAUUUUGUGGUGCAGUAAUAGUUUCAUUCUAUUGUUCAGCUGGACAAUACUAGACAAUUUCUUACUAUAUCUCAGACCUGACACUACAUUUCCCACUUCUGUGAUGUACUGACUGGCUCUCUAUGACUGAAAUGUACUUCCUCCUAACCUCCUUUUCUUAUAAUUUUUUAUUUCUUUCAAGACAGCUCAGGUUUCACCUCUUAUCUGAAUAAUUUCUUAAUUUCCAUAGCUAUUAAUAUAUAAAUAUCAUAUAUAAUGUUAUAUAUUACUAUUUAAUGUCACAUAUCUAUUUUAUAUCUACCAAUACAAUAUAGUGUUAAUUUUAAUAAUACUAUUAAUGCUAGUGUUAUAUUUCUGAAGAGCAUCACCAGUUUAUUUUGUUUGUACGUAGCUGAACGAAAGUUCAACGGCUGAGAUGGCGAUGCAGCAAGGCACUGUGGAGUGCUUAGGGCGUGAUGGAGCACAAAAGACAACAUGGCCAUCCAAUGCAGCUAAGGAAGUCUCCAGGUGUAAUGACUUUUCGUGCCAAUGGACCCAGGCUUCCAACACCCAGAGAGUGGGACUGUCUCUGUGCAUCGACUUUUCCACUUAAAUCUUCAUGCACAGGUGUCUUUGUGCACAAAAACGCACAAAGACAAUCGUCAUCCUCGGUUCGAGAGACAACCAACAAACAUAGCUGUUUGUAUGUUCUCUCUCCUUUUAGACUGUGAACUUAUUGAGAGCAGUUUAAAAAAGUUUUUGCCUCCAGAGUUUAACAGAGUGCUUGGUGGACAGUAGGCUCUUAAUAAAUGCUUACUGUCUUGUUGACAUAGAUACUGUCUUCCCUAGCAAGUUCUCAAUUUAUACCACAAUGAUGGAUUCCUAUGAGUCCUUUUUGCUAGAUCAGUGUUAACCACAGAAUUGAUUACUUUGAUAGAGAAAUCACAGGGCAUUAACACCUUUUAAUAAAAGCACAUCUUUUUAAUCUUAUUUCUUUUGGAUAGUCUCCAAAGAGAAUUAGUCUAAAACACUAGAAGCCCUUAUUUUUUAAUACUUUAUGAUACCAGUACAAUUCUUGAGGGUAUUAUUACCCAUGACUGAGACUCCCAAUCCUUCCAUUUACUAGCUAUUAGUGAAAUCUCUCCAUCCCCUGAUAACACUGGCCCACCUGGCUACUCUUUCCAAUAAUGGCUAUACCUUCAUUCAUUUUCCUCAGCUCCCUCACUGAGGUAAGGGGGUUGAAUAUUCCUUGCUCCACACUGCAAUUUCCAGGCUCUGACUCUACCUCCAUCACUCAGUAACUUCUUCUCCUUUGAGGUUCAAGUUUUUCAUAUCUGCCACUCAAACAAAAUCCUGGUAGCUACUGUAGUAUUGAUCAGUUGUUUACCCAUUUUAUCCAACUCUUCAUGACUCCAUUUAAGGUUUUCUUGGCAAAGAUACUGGAGAAUGGUUUGCCAUUUUCUUCUCCAGCUCAUUUUACAAAUGAGGAAACUGAAGCAAAUAGUGUUAAUUGACUUGCUUAGGAUCACACAGCUAGAGUCUGAUGCCAGAUUUGAAAUCAGGAAGAUGAGUCUUCCUAACUUCAGGAUGUUGUCUACAGAAUCCCAAGCCCCUUUCCUUCCUUCCUUAUUGAAUAUGA